UACGGAGGGGGCUAGCGUUGUUCGGAAUUACUGGGCGUAAAGGGCUCGUAGGCGGCCAACUAAGUCAGACGUGAAAUCCCUCGGCUUAACCGGGGAACUGCAUCUGAUACUGGAUGGCUUGAGUUCGGGAGAGGGAUGUGGAAUUCCAGGUGUAGCGGUGAAAUGCGUAGAUAUCUGGAGGAACACCGGUGGCGAAGGCGGCAUCCUGGACCGACACUGACGCUGAGGAGCGAAAGCCAGGGGAGCAAACGGG
rnacentral:rRNA from 1 species